GAAGUUGCUUGCUUUCACUCUGGUGGAAGGUGUGAUAAAAGAUUAGUAUUAUUCAACUAGAAUGGUAAAGAGAACUGUGAAGGCUUCCUUCCUCCUCUACUGGAAACCAAAUUUGGACAAUGAAAGACCCAUGGGAGAGAGGUGGAUUGUUCCAUUUCUCCUGGAUGCAGCCUUCCAGUGGUCUACUACUGUCACUGAGAGCUGCUUGCCACAAAGCACAUAAACACUCGUCUCAGGGGGAAUAUACAGUUUGUCCUGAGUCUUAAAGGUUGUGUAGAGGUGAAGCCAAACAUGCAGAAGUGGCUUCGUGGGUAUAGAAAUCUGAAACUGAAGAAUGCUGGAAGUAGCAGGAACCUAAGUAUAAGGGCACAGAGUCGUAUGGGUUCAUGAAGCUAGCGGUGGCCUCCCAGAGUGAGAAGCGAACAUGAGAGGUAGCCAAGGUCCAGGUCUUCAGAGUUUGGAUGCUUCAUUACUUGAAGUCUGCUCUGCGAGUUUAAGGAAUAUGACGACAUUUGAGACGGGGAAAAAGAGAAUUCUCUGAACACAGUAAUAUUUUAAGCCUCAUUGGCCUUUCAUUCCCAAUUGGAUUGCCAAAGAAGAGUGGCCAGGGUGACUGGACCUCAGAAUAGGGGCCUUGGGCAACAACUGAGGAGCCAAAAAUGGAUGCCACUUAGGAUCAUGUCUAAUUAGUCUUGCAGAUAUUUGAAA